rnacentral:rRNA from 1 species
ACAACCCAAAACCAAAUGAUUAAUAGUAACAUAAAUAAACUAAUAAUAAGAUAGAGUAAAUUAAAGAUUAAUCAUAAUUUCGGAACAGAGAUGGAUAGUAAUUCUUGAAAUAAAAUAGAAGUAAUACAACUCUAUGUACCUUUUGUAUCAGGGAGCAAGGAAUAGCAUAUUAAAAUCUAAUCUUCCCGAACAGGAAGGAUCUCCAGAGUAAAUUCUAGCCCUGUAGAACUAUGGCUUCUAAUUUCUCUAGAGUUGUGAGAAGUAACUCGUCUUCCUAGAUAUCUGGUUACUAGAUUACACUUCUUAAGGAAGAAACCUCUAAAGGGAUAAGCUUUUAGAUAUACCAUAUUACCAUCUCAGAAUAAUUCCAGAAAUAGAAACUGUUAAUUUAAUGACUUUCUAGCUUAAUUGGUACAGAAUUAAUGUAACUUUCACGAACGAAACAAGAAAUCUUAUAAUCUUGCUAUAAGUAGAAUAAAUAUUUUGAUUCAAGGAACUCGGCAACUAAGGGUUGGAAUGUCUACUAAAAACAUUUCCUCUCGACUAACUAGGAGGUAAGGCCUGCUCACUGCCUAAGGGUAAAGAGCCGCGGUAUACUGACCGUGCUAAGGUAGCAUAAUAAUUUGCUUUUUAAUUGAAAGCUAGAAUGAAUGGUCUAACUUGACCCUCUCUGUCUCGAAUCAACUAAUUUGAAUUUAAAUUCUAAGUGAAAAUGCUUAGAUGAUUAAGUGGGACGAGAAGACCCUAUAGAUCUUUACUUGUAGCCCCCUUAUGGGAGCGGUAGCAAGGUUACCUGGGAUGGGGCUCAUGAACUCUUUAUACUUUAGAGCUAAUCGGCUCAAUUUGAUGAUCCAAUUGAAUUGAAUAUAGAAAUAGUUACCUUAGGGAUAACAGCGUCAUUGCCUUCUCUAGGCCUUAUGGAGUAAGGUAGAUUGCGACCUCGAUGUUGAAUUAAGUUCUGUUACUCUUGAAGAAAAGAGUUAACUUAGUCUGUUCGACUAUUAAAAACUUACAUGAUUUGAGUUUAGACCGACGUGAGUCAGGUCAGAUUCUAUCUUCUUUAAAUUUCUUCUCCUUAGUACGAAAGGACACGGGGAAGGGAUUUGAUUCUU